rnacentral:rRNA from 1 species
UAGGGAAUCUUCGGCAAUGGACGGAAGUCUGACCGAGCAACGCCGCGUGAGUGAAGAAGGUUUUCGGAUCGUAAAGCUCUGUUGUAAGAGAAGAACGAGUGUGAGAGUGGAAAGUUCACACUGUGACGGUAUCUUACCAGAAAGGGACGGCUAACUACGUGCCAGCAGCCGCGGUAAUACGUAGGUCCCGAGCGUUGUCCGGAUUUAUUGGGCGUAAAGCGAGCGCAGGCGGUUAGAUAAGUCUGAAGUUAAAGGCUGUGGCUUAACCAUAGUAGGCUUUGGAAACUGUUUAACUUGAGUGCAAGAGGGGAGAGUGGAAUUCCAUGUGUAGCGGUGAAAUGCGUAGAUAUAUGGAGGAACACCGGUGGCGAAAGCGGCUCUCUGGCUUGUAACUGACGCUGAGGCUCGAAAGCGUGGGGAGCAAACAGGAUUAGAUACCCUGGUAGUCCAUGCCGUAAACGGUGGGCGCUAGGUGUAGGGGCCUUUUGGGGUUUCUGUGCCGUAGCUAACGCAUUAAGCGCCCCGCCUGGGGAGUACGGCCGCAAGGCUA